GCUGGGCAUGGUGGCUCAUGCCUGUAAUCCCAGCACUUCGGGAGGCUGAGAUGGGAGGAUUGCUUGAGCCCAGCAGUUCGAGGCUACAGUGAGGCUUGAUCAUGCCACUGGACUCCUGCCUGGGUGACAGAGUAAGACCCCAUCUCUU
ensembl:misc_RNA Metazoa_SRP Metazoan signal recognition particle RNA